rnacentral:rRNA from 1 species
UACAGAGGGUCUCAAGCGUUUGUUCGGAUUCAUUUGGGCGUAAAGGGUGUGUAGGUGGCGCCGUAGUCGGGUGUGAAAUUUCGGAGCUUAACUCCGAAACUGCAUUCGAUACUGCGGUGCUUGAGGACUGGAGAGGAGACUGGAAUUUCAUGGUGUAGCAGUGAAAUGCGUAGAGAUCAUGAGGAAGACCAGUGGCGAAGCGGCAUCCUGGACCAUAACUGACGCUGGAGGCGCGAAAGCUAGGGGAGCAAACGGG